rnacentral:rRNA from 1 species
AUACGGAGGAUCCGAGCGUUAUCCGGAUUUAUUGGGUUUAAAGGGAGCGUAGGAGGGAUAUUAAGUCAGCUGUGAAAGUUUGGGGCUCAACCUUAAAAUUGCAGUUGAUACUGGUUUCCUUGAGUACGGUACAGGUGGGCGGAAUUCGUGGUGGAGCGGUGAAGUGCUUAGAUAUCACGAAGAACUCCGAUCGCGAAGGCAGCUCACCGGGCCGGAACUGACACUGAUGCUCGAAAGUGCGGGUAUCAAACAGGAUUAGAUACCCUGGUAGUCCACACAGUAAACGAUGAAUACUCGCUGUUUGCGAUAUACAAUAAGCGGCCAAGCGAAAGCGUUAAGUAUUCCACCUGGGGAGUACGCCGGCAACGGUGAAACUCAAAUGAAUUGGCGGGG